UCCCUGGUGGUCCAGUGGUUAAGACUUCGCCUGCCAAUGUGGGGAGCACAGGUUCAAUUCCUGCUCAGGGAU
rnacentral:tRNA from 1 species